rnacentral:lncRNA from 1 species
AGGCUUCACAAUGUGCCUUACAAUGCGACUUGGAAAAUGGAGGGAAAAAAUAAAAGAAAAGAAAACACUCUUUGAACGGGUAAAACCAUCUCUCUCCUCAUUUUCCCCCUUUUCAAACCCUCCAAACUAACAACACCAUUUUUCGGCGAAAUCUUGAAUUUUGAAGCACCAUGUCAUCGGUGAGAUUUACCUUCGAUGCUUUCUUUCAUUCCGACCGAUUGUCCAUAUUUGACCAUUCGACAAAGCCAUCGCCGUCUCAACAGUUCGGCCAUUAUGAAACAACAAAGACCCACCUCAAGCGUCCAUCAAAUCAUACUUCACACAUGGUAUUACGACUCGGAAGGAAAAUAUGUGGUUUAAUUAGUUAUUUAUUUGUGGUAUUAUGUCAGUCGAAGUGCUAUUGUGAAUUGUUCGUUCUUCGGUAUCUUUUUUUUUUCAUUUUAUUCAUGCAUUAGCCUUUCUCUUAAUUUUUCGGGAACAUAAAUGCUUGCAUACGCUGCUGCAAAUUUUGUCCUAUCCAUCUGUGGAACUUUAGUAUUGUUAUCUGAUUUUGAGUAGUCGUUGAGUGGAAUUUGAGGAGAAUUGUUUCCCUUAUUUCAGUUGAAUGGAAUUGGGUAAAUAGCACAAAAC